GCAAGAAUAGCAAUCUGUUUGGGUAAUAUGCCUCUAGAGCUAUUGAGAGGUACUGAUGAGGUUUGAGGAGUUCGAGAAAAAAUAUAGUUGCUUUUACUGGCGGUUUUUAUCUCCUUGAAGCAGCUUUGGAUCGGAGCAUACACUUGAAGAAGCAAUUGGGAAGAUGUUAGCAGAUUAUAUAUAUGAAACCUUUUUUUAAGAGUUCUCUUUUACUUUCGAUCAAACCUCCUGUUCAGCGGUGAAGCUACUGGAAUCAUAUAAUUUUUGUGUAAAGACUUAUAAAAAUAAGUGGAUUGUUUAUUGGUAAAUAAAUACAUGUUUCAUUCUCUUUUUAAAUGAAAACCAUAUACUUGCAUACA